rnacentral:tRNA from 1 species
CCCUGAUUAGCUCAGCUGGUACAGCGCUCCACUCAGAACGAAGAGGUCCCGGGUUCGAUACCCGGAGCAGGCG